GCGGAUGGCUGGAUGGCCGCGGGCCUUCACAGGUUCGAGGAAAGUCCGGACUCCACAAGGCACGGUGCCGGGUAACGCCCGGCCGGGGCAACCCGAGGGAAAGCGCCACAGAGAACAGACCGCCCCGGUCAAUGCGUCGAAGGUUCGCCUUCGUCGGAACCGGGGUAAGGGUGAAACGGUGGGGUAAGAGCCCACCGCGGGACGGGCAACCGGACCGGCACGGCAAGCCCCACCGGGAGCAAUGCCAAAUAGGGACCUCGCGCGGGUGCUGAUCCGGGUUUGCCGGAUAUCGCCGCAGGGACGCCUGACCCCGAGAGGUCCGGGUUGGCAGCUUCAGGCGCUCUGGUAACAGGGUGUCGAGAUGAAUGGUCAUCGCCGGGGGCGACCCCGGGACAGAAUCCGGCUUACAGGCCAUCCGCGCAA
rnacentral:RNase_P_RNA from 2 species